GACAGAGGGGGCAAGCGUUGUCCGGAAUCACUGGGCGUAAAGCGUCUGUAGGUGGUCAAAUAAGUCAACUGUUAAAUCUUGAGGCUCAACCUCAAAAUCGCAGUCGAAACUAUUAGACUAGAGUAUAGUAGGGGUAAAGGGAAUUUCCAGUGGAGCGGUGAAAUGCGUAGAGAUUGGAAAGAACACCGAUGGCGAAGGCACUUUACUGGGCUAUUACUAACACUGAGAGACGAAAGCUAGGGUAGCAAAUGGG
rnacentral:rRNA from 1 species